rnacentral:rRNA from 1 species
ACGUCUACAUUAGAUACCCGUGUAGUCCUAGCCGUAAACUAUGCGCGUUAGGUGUAUCGGUGACCACGAGUCACCGAGGUGCCGAAGGGAAACCGUGAAACGUGCCGCCUGGGAAGUACGGUCGCAAGGCUGAAACUUAAAGGAAUUGGCGGGGAGCACCACAACGGGUGGAGCCUGCGGUUUAAUUGGACUCAACGCCGGGAAGCUCACCGGAUAGGACAGCAGAAUGAUUGCCGGGCUGAAGACCCUGCAUGACUAGCUG